rnacentral:rRNA from 1 species
GACGAACGCUGGCGGCGUGCCUAAUACAUGCAAGUCGAACGAACCGCGACUAGGUGCUUGCACUUGGUCAAGGUGAGUGGCGAACGGGUGAGUAACACGUGGGUAACCUACCUCAUAGUGGGGGAUAACAGUCGGAAACGACUGCUAAUACCGCAUAGGACAUAGGAUCACAUGAUCCAGUGAGGAAAGGUGGCGCAAGCUAUCGCUAAGAGAUGGACCCGCGGUGCAUUAGCUAGUUGGUAGGGUAAAGGCCUACCAAGGCGAUGAUGCAUAGCCGACCUGAGAGGGUGAUCGGCCACAUUGGGACUGAGACACGGCCCAAACUCCUACGGGAGGCAGCAGUAGGGAAUCUUCCGCAAUGGACGCAAGUCUGACGGAGCAACGCCGCGUGAGUGAAGAAGGUCUUCGGAUCGUAAAGCUCUGUUGUUAGAGAAGAACAGCGCAUAGAGUAACUGUUAUGCGUGUGACGGAUCUACCA